AUGAUGGGAAUGUGCCCGGGGCAGGACCAGCUGCUGUUCUGUGACGACUGCGACCGUGGGUACCACAUGUACUGCCUGACCCCGCCCAUGUCCGAGCCCCCCGAGGGUGAGUCCGCCCCAAAACCCACCCUGGGGUUCCUGAUUCCCCGGGAUCCCACCCCAAAACCCACCCUGGGGCUCCUGGGGUUCCUGAUUCCCCGGGAUUCCACCCCAAAACCCACCCUGGGGUUCCUGAUUCCCCGGGAGCCCACCCCAAAACCCCCUUGGAGUUCCCAGUCCCCUGGGAUCCCGCCCCAGAACCUUCCCUCAAAUUCCCGAUCUCCUGGGAUUCCACCCCAAAAACCGCCCCCUGAAAUUCCCGAUCCCUCAGGAUUCCACCAACCCACCCUGGGGUUCCUGAUUCCCCGGGAUUCCACCCCAAAACCCACCCUGGGGUUCCUGAUCUCCUGGGAUUCCACCCCAAAACCCACCCUGGGGUUCCUGAUUCCCCGGGAUUCCACCCCAAAACCCCCUUGGAGUUCCCAGUCCCCUGGGAUCCCGCCCCAGAACCUUCCCUCAAAUUCCCGAUCUCCUGGGAUUCCACCCCAAAAACCGCCCCCUGAAAUUCCCGAUCCCUCAGGAUUCCACCCCAAAUCCUCCCCUGGGUUCCCCAAUCCCUCCAGGUUCUUCCUGGGUUUCCUUCUGGGAUGUGGGGAGGAGUUUUAUUGUCCCAAAUCUUCCUCUUCCUCCUCUUCUUCCCUCCUUUUCCUUCUCCUUUUCCUCCUCUUCUUCUUCCUCUUCUUCCUCCUUUUCCUCCUCUUUUUCCUGCUCUUCUUCCUCUUCCUUCAUUCUCCUUUUCCUCCUCCUUUCUUUCCUCUCCCUCUUCCUCCUCUUGGCUCUUCCUCCUCUUCCUCUCCAUCCUCUCCCUCCCUUCCUCUUCUCUUCCUCCUUUAUUCCUCCUCUUCCUCCUCCUCUUCCUCCCUCCACUUCCUUUAUUCUCUUCCUUCCUCCUCCUCCUCCUCUUCCUCCUCUCCCUCCUUCCCCUCCCCACCCCCCUCCUCUCUCAUUAACCCCCAUGAUUCAUUAACUGGUUCGUUAACUGGUUCAUUAAUUGGUUCAUUAACUCUUUUUGCAGGGAGCUGGAGCUGCCACCUCUGCCUGGACCUGCUCAAGGAGAAGGCGUCGAUUUACCAGAACCAGAACAGCUCCUGA
rnacentral:lncRNA from 1 species